AACGAACGCUGGCGGCAGGCCUAACACAUGCAAGUCGAACGGGCGUAGCAAUACGUCAGUGGCGCACGGGUGAGUAACGCGUGGGUACCUGUCUGAUAGUAGGGGAUAACAGCGGGAAACUGCGGCUAAUACCCUAUGUGUCCUUCGGGAUAAAGAUUUAUCGGCAUCAGGUGGGCCCGCGUAGGAUUAGCUAGUUGGUGAGGUAACGGCUCACCAAGGCGACGAUCCUUAGCUGGUCUGAGAGGACGAUCAGCCACACUGGGACUGAGACACGGCCCAGACUCCUACGGGAGGCAGCAGUGGGGAAUAUUGGACAAUGGGGGCAACCCUGAUCCAGCCAUGCCGCGUGAGUGAUGAAGGCCUUCGGGUUGUAAAGCUCUUUUGGCGGGGACGAUGAUGACGGUACCCGCAGAAUAAGCUCCGGCUAACUUCGUGCCAGCCGCCGCAGUAACAC
rnacentral:rRNA from 1 species